rnacentral:sRNA from 1 species
GCGGACCUACUACUUGAUUUAGCUGAUUUUUCCUGGGCUGGGAACCUGUAUUGCAUGUACCAAAUCCUGUCUUUCAUUAAUUUUCCUAUGUUCCUGUUAUAUUCUUGGCGUCGUUCAACACUAAGCAUUCCUCCUGUAUAACCAACUCUUGCCUGUAUUUAACAUCACACAAGGACUCGUCAUAAGCACUGCUUGCAUACGAGUAUA